rnacentral:rRNA from 1 species
UACGAAGGGAGCUAGCGUUGUUCGGAAUUACUGGGCGUAAAGGGCGCGUAGGCGGCUUGGCAAGUUGGGUGUGAAAGCCCAGGGCUCAACCCUGGAAUUGCACUCAAGACUGCCUUGCUUGAAUUCGGUAGAGGUUGGUGGAAUUCCCAGUGUAGAGGUGAAAUUCGUAGAGAUUGGGAAGAACACCCUGGCGAAGGCGGCCAACUGGACCGACAUUGACGCUGAGGCGCGAAAAGCGUGGGGAUCAAACAGG